rnacentral:rRNA from 1 species
AUACGUAGGUGGCGAGCGUUAUCCGGGAUUUACUGGGUGUAAAGGGUGUGUAGGCGGGUUGUCAAGUCAGAUGUGAAAUGCCGUGGCUUAACCACGGCACUGCAUCAGAAACUGGCAAUCUUGAGGGUGGGAGAGGUAAGCGGAAUUCCUGGUGUAGCGGUGAAAUGCGUAGAUAUCAGGAGGAACACCGGUGGCGAAGGCGGCUUACUGGACCACAACUGACGCUGAUACAACGAAAGCGGUGGGGAGAC